UGAUACCCCAGGACUGAAGAGAGAAGCCACAUAGGUCCUGGGAACAGUGUGCUGUUACAGUGCUCCCCAUAAAGAGCUGGGCAUUAUUUGCAAGAUGGUCAUCUGGAACUCAGAAUUCUCCAUAGAUACAUUUUCCACUGAUCAACAAAGCACCUCAGAUUCUAUUAUACCAUUCGUAGUGGACCAUACAAGAAGAGUAUCAUAUAUAAGCAAGUGUUCAGAGGCCCAAAACAAAAGAAUCAGUAAAAACUUCUAGGAGCAGACGCCUGAG